UACAUGGGGUGCAAGCGUUGUCCGGAAUUAUUGGGCGUAAAGAGCUCGUAGGCGGUUUGUCGCGUCGAAUGUGAAAACCCGGGGCUCAACCCCGGGCCUGCAUUCGAUACGGGCAGACUAGAGUUCGGUAGGGGAGUCUGGAAUUCCUGGUGUAGCGGUGAAAUGCGCAGAUAUCAGGAGGAACACCGGUGGCGAAGGCGGGACUCUGGGCCGAUACUGACGCUGAGGAGCGAAAGCGUGGGGAGCAAACAGG
rnacentral:rRNA from 1 species